rnacentral:rRNA from 1 species
GACGUAGGGCGCGAGCGUUGUCCGGAUUUAUUGGGCGUAAAGAGCUCGUAGGCGGCUUGUCGCGUCGACUGUGAAAUCCCGCGGCUCAACCGCGGGUCUGCAGUCGAUACGGGCAGGCUAGAGUUCGGUAGGGGGAGACUGGAAUUCCUGGUGUAGCGGUGAAAUGCGCAGAUAUCAGGAGGAACACCGGUGCGAAGGCGGGUCUCUGGGCCGGAUACUGACGCUGAGGAGCGAAAGCGUGGGGAGCGAACAGG